GAAUGCUUGGCAUGUGUCUGGUUCUGUGCUAAGAAGAUUUUGAUAUCCUACUGGGUCUUCAAAAAUUUCGGCUGAAAAUGCAUUGGCAUUUAUCUAAUGACUGUAAGGAAGGCAAAUGUUACAUGUUAAUAUUUCCAUAAAACCGGAGCUUAAGAAAAUCAAAGGCACUUUUUACUUGACUUGGAAUGAACAAAAUUAUUCUGAAGGCUUCUCAGAGCCUUAAGAUGAUUCAAACCUAUUGUUUCUGAUUUUCCAUUGUGGUGACUUCUACGGAGAUAACUAUCAUUUUAAUAGAACAAAACCAGAGCAAAGCUCAUGACAUUACAGGAGGAGCAGAGUUCUAUCAUGUAGAAGUUCAUUCACCCGAGCAUGCUUCCUUAUCAUCAUCUCAUCUUGUGCCGGUAUACAAGUAAGAUCAGCCAGCUGCUGAAAUCUCUAAGGAAUAUCUCUCCAUGGAGACAGAGCCAGACGGCCCAAGUCUCUUCUCUGUUCUUGAGUUCCUGUUUUCAAGUAAUGAUUUGGAUAAACUGGAGACCAGUUUCCUUUCCUCCAACUCUGGCAGCUGAAAUUAAUUCUCCAAAGACUCCUCUUUGGAGGCAAGCAGAUGGUACACAUGCACAUGUUUUAGUUUCGAUUGUACCAGUUUUGAAUAAUUUAAAGUUCCAAAUCUCUAUAAAACUACUGUAUUCCCAUUUCCCAAUACAUUUUUUUCUUUUGCCUCAGAAAUUCUUUCGUUAUAUUUUGACAUUUGGCUGAAACUUCGUUCACUUUGUACUGGCUUCAUUGUCACACACCUCCUGCUGUUCUUUGUUACAAUUUUAGAUAAGUAUGGCUUUAGAAAACUAAGAUGCUUUUAGAAACUAUUCUGCUGGUGAUUUUCCCUUUACCAUUUGCAAAGCAUUUUGUAUACAUAAACAGCACAUUAGCCAAAUGAUAUUGUUAUCACAGUUUCUGUUGGUCUGCACUUGGCUCUCGCUUUAGAAUUACCCCAAAUAGGUUUGCAGAAUUUUAUAGUUGCAUUAUGAGGCACUCAAUAAUAUGUAUGAACUUAGGCAUUUCUUUUCUGCCAUUCUGUUUGAGAAACAGCCCAUCCUAUCUCUGCUGAAGAUUCAUUGCUGCUUCAGGUAGAACGUGAUAAAGUUUGGAAAACAGAAACUCAGAACAACUGAAGAGAGCCUCAGAAAUCUCAUCUUUUUGAUAGAACACUUCCCUUAGGGACUUUAACAAUUGCUAUGCAGAAUCAACAAAUAAAUAACUUUCAGUGGUGUUUUGUCUCUCUUGAUUUCAACCAUUCAAGUGAUGUGACUUCUACCACUUCCCUUGAGGGGUAAUUCCAUAUUCCAGCAGUUUUCACUGUCAGGAAGUUUCUCAUGCGCUCUACCCAAGUUGUCUUUUCUCUAACUUCCUUCCAUUUCUGAGUUACACCAAAUCUGAACACAUCACUAAAUGGCUUCUCAUUUCUAGUGAGGGCUUACACUUUUAAACAUUUGGCUGACUAGUGUUUUAUUUCUCACUUUCCCAAGAGUUAUAUAUUUACCUCCAACACACUUCUUUCUUCAGUCACUCUACUGUCU
rnacentral:lncRNA from 10 species